AUGCAUAUGUUUAAUAGUUGACCCUAACAAAAUGUAAUGAAAUCGUUCUGUUUUAACCUCAGCUAUUACAAAAUGUUAAGUUCUUAUUGCCUUUGUGCACUUAUUUUAUCAUUCAACUCACUAAUAAAAUACACCUUUUAUUGUAUUUUUUGUCUGAAGAAAUUUAAAAAGUUCUCUGUAACAAAAUAUUGUCUAUAUCUGGGAUACCUGGUUUAUUCAUUAGUUGAAAUUGGCUUUGAACAAGCUUUUAAUAACUAUAAGUACCGUACUUAAAUUGGUACUGGUGUCUGGUGUCUUUUCGUUAGUUGUUUUGUGUGCUAUGUGCUGGUCUGAUGGGUUAAACCCUUUCCAAAUGAUUCUUUUUUUUGUUCCUAUGUACCAUAAUGCUUUUAUUCCACUGUCUAAAGGUACGAGAGUUAAGGCCUUGUGACAUGUUUACUGUCUAAAGAUAUGAGAGUUAAGGCCUUGUGACAUGCUAAACCCCACAAAAUUUUUUGAUAUGCCUGUCCAAAAUUAGGAGCCUGAAAUGUUUUGACCAUAAAUCAGGUCAUUCCCUUUCUCUUCAAUUGUUUCUCAUUUUGUUAUGUUGAGGGUUUUUAUAGCUUACUAAAUGGUAUGGGUUUUACUAAUUGGCCG
rnacentral:lncRNA from 1 species